AGCUGUGUUUUUCCUGUCAGACUAAACGGUUCUCCUUUUUCACCUGGUCGUACACCUGCCAGUUCUGCAAAAGGCCUGUGUGCUCGCAGUGCUGUAAAAAGAUGAGACUUCCCUCUAAGCCGUAUGCCAACCUGCCCAUCUCCUCUCUGGGAUCUACUACCACCAUCCUACCCAGGGAGGAGGCAGAAGGGACAUCAGCCCUGGACACCCCAGAGAAGCCCUCGUCCAGCCAGCGCCACAGCCUGCGCCGGACCGUCUCCAGGUACACAGAACAUCAU